rnacentral:rRNA from 1 species
GAUGAACGCUGGCGGCGUGCCUAAUACAUGCAAGUCGAGCGAACAGACGAGGAGCUUGCUCCUCUGACGUUAGCGGCGGACGGGUGAGUAACACGUGGAUAACCUACCUAUAAGACUGGGAUAACUUCGGGAAACCGGAGCUAAUACCGGAUAAUAUAUUGAACCGCAUGGUUCAAUAGUGAAAGACGGUUUUGCUGUCACUUAUAGAUGGAUCCGUGCCGCAUUAGCUAGUUGGUAAGGUAACGGCUUACCAAGGCGACGAUGCGUAGCCGACCUGAGAGGGUGAUCGGCCACACUGGAACUGAGACACGGUCCAGACUCCUACGGGAGGCAGCAGUAGGGAAUCUUCCGCAAUGGGCGAAAGCCUGACGGAGCAACGCCGCGUGAGUGAUGAAGGUCUUCGGAUCGUAGAACUCUGUUAUUAGGGAAGAACAAAUGUGUAAGUAACUAUGCACGUCUUGACGGUACCUAAUCAGAAAGCCACGGCUAACUACGUG